rnacentral:ncRNA from 1 species
UUGAGCCGUAUGCUGUGAAAGUUGCACGUACGUUUCUUAGGGAGACGGCACUUGGUAACAGGUGUCGUCUACUCGAC